GACAGAGGUGCCAAGCGUUAGGCGGAAUCACUGGGCUUAAAGCGUGUGUAGGCGGAGUUCUAAGUACCUUGUGAAAUCCCACGGCUCAACCGUGGAACUGCUUGGUAUACUGGUUCUCUUGGGCCAUCUAGGGGCGAGCGGAACAAGUGGUGGAGCGGUGAAAUGCGUAGAUAUCACUUGGAACGCCAAUGGUGAAAACAGCUCGCUGGGGAUGUGCCGACGCUGAGACACGAAAGCCAGGGGAGCGAACGGG
rnacentral:rRNA from 1 species